UGUUUUGUUCUUGCUAAGUUUCACUUUAUAAUAAAUAUGUGGAACUCAACAUCCGCUGCGCCUUCCGUCUCUCCUCACGUACGUGACAUCUAUAAACCUCUAACAAAACUGAAUUUGUCUGCUUUGGGGAAUAUAGCCAUCAUCGCUUCAACAAGAGCAAUCUUCGUGAGUCAUACUGCACCCCUUGUUGCAUGGGAGAACAUUCUGGAAACAGUGUCACCCAUCUUCCCCAUUAUCACCUGUGUUUUCUGUCUGUUGCCAGUUCGUCUUGUUUGUUCAAGCGUGCCAGCAUUUUGUCUAAGCACCUGGUUAUCCCUAGUCUCUCUUUUCUCGUACUCCUGGUUUUUGACCUUUGCCUGUCCUGACCCUGUACCCACCCGCCUGCCUGACCGCUGCCUGACUGCCGUCCUGUACUCUAGAUUAUCGACCCCUGCCUGCCUUGACCUGUCGUUUGCC